CAUCCACUAUCCAAGUACCACUUGCUUUCAAGCUUUGAGAAUUUCAAGCACAUCUCAUUAGAGCUUGCCUCCAUUGCCAUGAAGCACAUGUUGGCAACUUCAUCAUUGAUCUCUUCACCUUCACAUCUUGUGGAUAUUAAACAUUCCAUGCUUCUUGUUCUUCUUGAUUCUUUUUCGUCGUCUUCCAAAGCAAUUAAGCACAUGUCAAUCAUGGAGGGUUCUUUGAAGCUUUGUUCAUAAGCGUUAUCCACUUGCAGCAUUUGCUCCAUUUGUUGAUGCGAGGAAUAGUUUUUGGUGUACUCAACUUCAUCAACCUGGUGGGGGCAACGUGCCGGCAUGGUAGGUGACUGGUCCCCGAUGGCGCUGCCGCGCUGCUCCUUCUUGGAUGGCUCUCUCCUUCCCCGAAUCCUAACAUGAGCUAGCUUCCCAAGGAUGGCCUUUUAAUUUCUUUUCUAUCUGCAAUUUUUUUUCUUGCCGCCAUGCAUUCAACGGCGACGUUCUGGGGUCCAAUGUGGCAGAGAUGGGCUAAAAUGUUUUGACACCACUCUAGAGUCUAGCAGUUCCGUGAUGGGUGUGAAGCUGACACACCUUGGCACCUUGUACUGGUUAAUAGAUGCACCCCUGGAAAUUGCAUAAUCCAUGAGCUCCUCAAAGGUGCCAUUUUUCACCACUCUUAUCUCCAGUGGCCCGAUUGAGUUAUCAGCUACCCGGCCUUGCCUGUAGACAGAGUUCAAUGAUUCUUCCAUGGCUAGGCAACACUGGUUCAAGACCUCCUCAGUUGGUGAAUUGGCUGGAUCUUUAACAAACAACUCCCAGUAUAUCACGUAGUGACCUGGGAUUGAUUUGGUAUCUGCAUAGCUAGUGUACUCAACUACACUGGUGUUGAACUCACGUAACAGUGCGGAAGCAUUUUCAAUACCCUUUUGUAACUCAGCCUCGUCGGUCUUGUCCGAGUCAAUACUCAAUAAGACAUUCUUUCUCCUCACGAAGCGAAAUUGUGGAGCUUUGUUGUAGAACCCAGUGACCCGGAGGAUGUCACCGACUCGGUACCUGUAGAGACCAGAAUAGGUAGUGAUAACCAAUUCAUAUUCUUUGCCAACUUCAACGUUAGCAAGGUCCACAAGGCGUGGGGGACAGUCACGGGAGGGUGCUGGAGCUGAGGGUUCAUGAGGCAAGAACUCGAAGUAAGCCAUGUUUGGCAUGAUUGUAUAAGAAACCUCCGAUGGCUUGCUCAUUGGCUUUAGGUUAAGCCCAAAAUAGCACUCAGAGGAAGCAUACAUGGUGCAAGCCAUGGGCAACCCAGCACUGUAAUAUUCAAGCGUGGGAAUAUACUGGGCCAUGGCUCCUGUGACAAUGACGUCUAAAUAUUUUGUAUUGGGCCAAAUUCUUGUGAUAAUACCUUCCCAGUUCUCUCCUGAGCAUUGUUUUGUAAUGAACUCAGCGAGGUCUGGGUUAGGUUUCAAGAUUUUGGUCAUGCAUUCCCUUACUGAAUGGUCAGUUACUUUAGGGUUUAAUGUGCCAGAGGAGAUAUCCUCGACGAGUUGCUUCCAGUUGAUCUGAAGGAACUUAAUGGCUCUGAGAAGGCCUGAGGCGAAAACUGCACCAACUCGGAGGACUUCUUCGCGCAUAAUGAGGCCACAGAGCAUUUGGGCGUACAUGCUCUGGAAGGAGUCUGCGCAAAGAAUGGUCUCGUUGGGGCUAGUGUAAACGUUGUAAGGAUCGUAUGGCCUGUUCUUGAACUGCUCACUUUUAUAGUAGCUUGUGAGUACCGGACGUGCCAAGAGCCCACCUGGGGUCUUUGUCUCAGCCUUCACAAACAAGAAAUACAGGCCCUUCCCUUUGUCUAAACCCGGCACAUAGAGAUUCAUGACAGGCAUGAGAAGACUGUAUAAUAACUGGCGACGGUCCAUGUCUUCAUAAAUUGUUGGCAUCAGUUUUCUCUCACCGGCAGAAGUACCGGAGCUAGUGAGAAACUCAGAGACAGGGUGAGCGCAAAAGAUGGCAGAGCGGUCACCGUUAGCUAUACGUUGAAUAUCAGGCUGGAUAUCCUCGUAAGUGACCACCGGGAUUUUGACCUUGAAGGUGUCGCGCUCAGUUGCUCCUAGGAGCGGAAAUCGCUUAAGAUAUUCAGCCUCAGAAUUCCUACUGAGUAUCUCUGCAAGAACCCUCUCCUGCACUGAGUCUACAUUGCUUGUCAUCUCUUCAAUGAACGGAAGAGCCUUUGCAUCCUUUUCACAUGCAGGGGGACCAAGUGGGGAUGAUAGAUAAUCAACGGCCAUGAUAAAAAUCAAAAUCAAGAAAAUAAAAGAAAGAAAGAGAGAUGGCUAUAGCAAGCAAGGAGAAGAGGAGAAGGGGGUGUUGUUUUU
rnacentral:misc_RNA from 1 species